GACGAACGCUGGCGGCGUGCCUAAUACAUGCAAGUCGAACGCAGGGGGGACGGGUGAGUAACACGUGGGUAACCUCCCAUCAGAGGGGAUAACACGUGGAAACAGGUGCUAAACCGAUACUGAUGGAUGGACUCGCGGUGCAUUAGCUAUUUGGUGAGGUAACGGCUCACCAAGGCCACGAUGCAUAGCCGACCUGAGAGGGUGAUCGGCCACACUGGAACUGAGACACGGACCAGACUCCUACGGGAGGCAGCAGUAGGGAAUCUUCGGCAAUGGGCGAAAGUCUGACCGAGCAACGCCGCGUGAGUGAAGAAGGUCUUCGGAUCGUAAAACUCUGUUGUUAGAGAAGCGGUAUCUAAUCAGAAAGCCACGGCUAACUACGUGCCAGCAGCCGCGGUAAUAC
rnacentral:rRNA from 1 species